GCCCAGAUGGUGGAAUUGGCAGACACGCUAGUUUCAGGUACUAGUGCCGAGAGGCAUGGGGGUUCAAGUCCCCCUCUGGGCA
rnacentral:tRNA from 2 species